GUUGCUCUAGAGAAGAGUGAGCUCCUUAUUAUUAGAAUCAUUGAAUAUGAUUCUGUAGGAAUAUAAACCCUAGCCCUUGAACUUAAAAACCAAUCAUAAAGAAAGAACUUUAAGUUUAAAAAAGAAUGUUUUAACAAACUGCCUAGAUGGAGUGGGUUGUAUUGUGAGCUCCCCAUUACUGGCUGUUUCUUGAACAAUACAUUUUGUCUCACAUCUCUAGGAAUUUUUUUUCUGGAUGUCUCCCAUGCCUGGAAUAAUCUCCCAACUACUAAAAUCCAUGACAUCUCUUAAAUCCUAACUAGAAAUCUGACCUUCUACCAUAAUUGGAUUGACCAAAGGUGGAUGUCUUCAUCUAGAAGAGGGAUGAGACGUGUUCUGCUUAGACCUAGAAGGCAAACCUAGAAGCAAUGGAUGGAAGUUUCCAAGAUAAAUUUAGGUCCUUACCACCUGGAUGGCAGUCUAUUGGACUUCUGAAUGUGUGUCCUGAAGUUCUGCCAGGCAAUUAUUUCUUCUAAACCUGAUAGAGGGACAAGUUUACUUUGGAGACAGAAGUAAAGAAUUAGCAGGAGGAGGGAGAAUUAAAGGAGUAAUUACCAAAGGUACUGUAUCACAAUCUGUAACUCUUUUACCUUGUAUCUAGUAAUCUUUCAGAUUCCCUUCUCAGGUUUGGACUGGCUGGUUGCAUAUUGACAGUAGUUUAGGGGGCAGGCACUCGUCUCCUGAACUGAGUCUGGAAAACAUAUCCCUCUAUCUAAUAAUUGACCCCAUUAGUGCAUUCAGUGCUGUCAUCCACUGAGUCAAGGGGCUAGCAACCUGACUUGUUGGAAGGCAACCCCGGAGAUGGAUGUCAAGGAUGUGACUUUUCAUUUAAAAAGCUUUGAAAGUCAUUC
rnacentral:lncRNA from 1 species